ACUCUAAACCUAAACCCUCAUCUUCUUAUUGUCUCCUCCUCCCUGCCCCCUGCCUUCCCUUUCGCACUUCUCUUCGUCUUCUCCUCUCCAGCGAGCUGCCACGCUGCUCCGAUCAGCGGUGACCAGUGAGAGAGUGAGCGAAAUUCCGGCGAGAUGCUCCAGGCGGCGCUGCCCCUUCCCCCUUUUCUCCUUCCCUCUCAGAUCUCUCCUCCCUCCUCUUCUCCUUGUUCUUUUUUUCUCUCUCUCUUUGCAGGACCACCAGGCAGCAGCCUCCGGCGAAGAACAGCAACCAGCAGAAACGAGCCAACGCCAGCAACAGCAACCAGACGCUGCCUCAUCUCAAUCUCAGGCGAGCAUCUGCGAAAGCCAGCUCCGACCAGCAGCAAUUCGACGAUUCUCCUCUUUUCCGACGAGGACGGACAACAUACUCCUGCGAGCAUUUCGAGGUAUUGAGACAGAUCUUUAACAGAUCCGUCCAGGAGUCUUCCGUUGUUCGUAGACGAGAAAGACAAGCGAGGGAGAAACAGAUAGUCUCCAUGGCUCCACCAAGUAAGCAUCGCAAACCCCAAAUGAUAGUGAAUACAUCCACUAUGCGGAAUGUGGUGCGGAAGUUGAUUGCAUCACAAGAUAGAGUUAUGAAUUAUGUAUUGAAUUUAUGCAUCUAUUUGUUGUAUGUAUGUAUUUUCUAUGCUGAAAUUGGUUAAGUAGGAAGAAAGCUGCAGGUUUCUAGUCUCUACUGUUGGAAUUAAUGCAUUAAUGUUUAGUCUUCUAAAAUUGUCUCUUAGUUUUUCAAGAAGUCUCUUUCGAAUUUUGUAGUACAUAUAUCGAGUAAAUUGUGAUACAUGUAUUUUGUUAUUUGUGCAUGACUUUUUCUUUUCUAUUUUGAGUAGUAUAAAUAGUGAUGUAGUUGAUGAUUGUAAUCAUCUCAAGUGGACUUAAGUAGCCUAUAAUAAACUUGAGCAUUCUCUAAAGAUACUAUUUCCUUCCAUAUUCCCUACAAAUUGGUAUCAGAGCAGAUUUUCGUUCUUAAUCUGGGGUUAGGUGAAGAAAAAAUAUGUCAUCCAAAACAAGGUGCUGAUUCUUCAAUUGCUCUUACUCCAUUUUUGAUGGAAUUGAUUUUGAAUAGUGGAAGAUAAGAAUAAAAACAAAUUUGAAAGUUGAAGGUUUGUGAACUAUUGUUGCAAAUGGCUUUGAAAAGACAGACAAUGAUAGUGAGCAGCAGAGAUGAAAAAUCUUGAGGCUAUGUAUCGUCAAGAUGCAAAACCCUUGAGAAAAAUCCAAAUGGGAGUCUCAAGAGCAUAUUUUGCAAAAAUUGCUACUUGUGAGACUGCAAAGGAAGCUUGGGAUUCUCUGAAAACUGAGGUGUAUGGUGACAAAAAGGUACGUACUAUAAAUCUUCAAUCUUUUAGAAGAGAGUUUCAAAAUUUGAAGAUGAUAGAAUUUGAAAAUAUUGAUGAAUAUUGCACAAGAGUCUUAAAUAUUGUUAAUGAAUUGAGAAAUCACGGUGAUACAAUUUCUGACCAACAAGUUGUGGAAAAGAUUCUAAUUAGUGUCACAGAAAAGUAUGAGUAGGUUGUUGCUAUCAGUGAGGAGACCGAAGAUCUUUCUAAGCUUUCCAUCAAAAAGUCAGAAGCAUUUGCUACAUUCAAGAAAUUUAAAGCCCUUGUUGAGAAGUAAAAAGGUUGCAGCAUCAAAACCAUUCGUAGUGAUAGAUGAGGUGAAUAUACAAGUCGAGAAUUUGAAGAAUAUUACAAAAAUGAAGGCAUUCAGAAGCAACUUACAGCAAGGUGUACUCCUCAACCAAAAAGUGUAUCUAAAAAAAGAAAUACAAUAAUUGUUGAAAUGACCAGAACUAUGAUGAAUGAGAUAGGAAUGCCAAAAUAUUUUUGGUAGAAGCAGUGCAUACAACAGUUCACAUCCUUAACAGGUGUCCAACAAAGGCACUAAAGGACUAGACACCAGUUGAAGCUUGGCGUGGAAUUAAACCUUCUGUUUAGGUUCUCAGCAUCCAAAUCAUGCAUAGAUUGAUUCUCUGAUCUUUAGUUCAGCAGAUUCAGUGGUGAGUCCUCAUUCUCCGAGGACAACAGUCAUGAGUUUCUUUUCGGUAUUUAGUCUUUUUGUUUCAAUUUUACUAGAUUUAGCUAGGGCUUGUCCCAGUACUUCUAGUCAGUUAGAGGCUUAUUUCAGACAUAGUUAGAUUCAUCUUAGUGUUGAGUUAGUGACUUCAUUGUAUUAAAGUCAUUAUUUUCAAAUAUAUCAAUUUUAGCAUA